GUCAGCAGGAUUGGCUGGCAGGAUUUUUUGAUUACAUAAUCCUGUUGUCUAUCCUGGCUGUAAACUUGCCACCACUGUAACAAAUUGAGACCAUUCCGUGAAAACUCUCUUUAGCCACAAAUUAGUUUCAUUUGCUUACCCGCAGGGGCAAGGGAAACAUGCCAAAUUAUCACUUUAUAUGGAAAUCUGGACGUUCUCCAAGACCCUUAAUGGAGUCAUAAACGGACAAGGGGUCCUUUCCUUCUUUCCUGCAGUGUGUGGAGUCACAGAGGUCAUGUUUGCUUGGGUUUCCAAGCACAAAAGCAGUCAAGUCCAAAUAAUGCUUCCAAAUCACGAUGUGAGGAGACUUUCAUUAUUGUUAUCAUGACAACGGAUAGACAAGUAACAGCUGUAAGUUCAGACCAGUUAUUUGA
ensembl:lncRNA